rnacentral:antisense_RNA from 1 species
CUUCAGCGAGCCGAUCAGCAGCGGGACGUCCCGGUCCUGGCCGUAGGUCGCCAGCAGAGCCUGCGCCUC